rnacentral:sRNA from 1 species
ACUGCAGUGUUUCCAGGGAUAUGGUGAUCCUGAACUAGUUGAUCAGUAAAUCUCAAUCCAUCUGUAAAUCACCAAACUUUACCUGAUGUCUCUCCCGGAAGAGAAUUAGGAGAUGGGCCUUUCCCACUGCUCAGUUCAGGGACUCCACUCUCCACACUCCAUCCACCCUGAGGCUCAGAUAAAGGCCACUGUGAAACGCAAGGUAUAUGAAGAUUCUGGCAUCCCCCUUCCAGCUGAGUCACCCAAGAAAGGGCCCAAGAAGGUGGCAUCUGGUGUCUUGUCACCUCCUCCAGCUGCCCCUCCUCCCAGCAGCUCCAGUGUCCCUGAGGCCGGGGGUCCCCCCAUAAAGAAACAGAAGGCUGACAGCCUGACCCUGGAUUCUGGCCUUCUCAUGACCUCUGCUGAUCCUCCUCUCCUCUCCUGCUGAGCCUUCCACCUCUGACCUCUCACUGUUCAUGCCGGACCUGUGGAUCUCCUGGGACUCCGAGCAAGGCCUGCACGAGAGAGGGCUGAAAGGCUGCUGGGGCUGCCACCUCGCUAUUCCCGCAUAAGCACCUGCCCCCAACCCCUUUGACCUUCAUCUGAUGGACAUUUUUAUACAGAAAACAAUAAAGAUUUCCCUCUCA